rnacentral:piRNA from 1 species
AGCAAUACUUUUGCAUGGUUCCAAAUU